CAGACUGCACUCCCGCCCUAUUUCUGCAAGUAGAAUUCACUGCCUUUAGAAACGGUCUUCUGAGGCUCUGUUGGGAGGCUCUAACUGUAUUACAGAGGACACAUUUUUGUUUGUUUUUAUGUGAAACAUUCAGAAGUUGCUUGCAUCAAGUGCUUUACAAGUACACUGGUUUUCAAACUUUUUAAGUUGAGGAACUGUUUUGAUUUUUGUAAAAAUAGAACUUUACUUGGAAGCCCAAGGUAGGCAGAUGCAGAUGGCGUUUUGAAUUUGCGAAUGUAUUCUAUAAAAUCACAUCUGUACUGAAGUACUAGAAAUAAUUGAGGAUAAGUCAGAUGUGAAGAGCAAGAACUUUUGAAAUAGGAUUACAACUGAAGGUUUCCAUCUUACAUUAGCUUCAGAAAACAAGAAAAUGCUAUCUUUUGUUUGGUUACAUAGUAACAGGAAGUCCUUAUUCAAGCUAGAACUUGCUGAUGUGAACAGUUUCAUAAGGGCUCUCCUUAAAAAGAUUUUGUACACCAAUUUUAAUUGGGAAAUAUACAUAUGAGUAUAUCUCAUGUGCAUAUCUUAAAGAAGAAUGAAAAAUGCCCAGGUACCCACUACAGUAGCUUAAGAAAAAAAAAAUGCCAGUAUUUUUGGAGUCUUCUAGAAAGGACUCUCUAAAAACAUCUCCUUUCUUCCGUUCACCAUUAUGCUGAAUUUUAUAUUACUCAUUCCGUUGUAUUUCUGAAAAUAGUUACAUAUGUACGAUUCCCUAAAAAUACUAUUUUCCUAGUUUUAUAUUUUAUAUGUGAAUCAUUCUUCAUUUUUCCCCCUUUUUUCACUAAUUUAGGUUUUGAGAGGUUUUGAGAUUCGUCUGUAUACAAGUACAUUUCCCAUAAACUAGACUGGCACAUCGUUACCCUUAUGCUAUUGUUAGACUUUUUAAGUUUUUACUGACAAGAGCAUCUGAUUGCUCUUUUAAUUUGCAUUUUCCCUUUUGCUAAAGCCUGUUCUUAAUUUUAUCUCAUUUUUUAUUAAAUUGCUUGCUUUUGAAAAUUAUUUUGUAGAUAAUAUUUAUUUUUUCUAGUUUAAUUCUCUCGUAAGUUACAUGUGUUGCAAAUGUCUUCUCUUAGUUUAUGGACUGUCUUUCCAGUUUUUAUGAUGUUUCUUGAUUGCCAAAAGCUUUAUGCUUCAGUAUACAGCUUUUUUAAUUUAAUAAUAUUUUACAUUUUAAUUUUGUGCUUUUUGCUUUCUUGCUUACAAGAUUCUUCCCAACAUAACAUCAGAAACUAUUCUUUCUUCUACAAGUUUAAAAGUUUAAUUGUAGCAACUUUAAACACAGAAAGAACAAAUAAUAAUAUAAUGAACACCCAUGCACUCAACUCUAUGUAUUAAAACAUUUUGCAAACCCGUCCUCCUAAUGAUUCUUGUCUAAAAUUGCCUUAACUAUACUUGGCUCUUUACUCUUUCAUUGAAAUUUUAGGAUGAGCCAGCCAAGAUCCAUUUAAAAAAUUGGAUUUCAAUUGGGCAUUUUAUUCAACUUGAGAAUUGCAUUUAGAGAUUUAGUGAAAUGUCUUCUUAUCUAUGAACAUGGUAUAUUUAUUUUAUUCAGGUACUUUAUGUGCUGCUAUGCUUUGUAAUUUAUUGAAUAUCUUUCAUUAUAUUGCCUCCUAGUUUUAUUACUAAAAUUAGAGAUCUCUCUCUUUAAACCCUAUUUUCUAAUUGUUUAGUAACAUUGUAUUAAAAGAGCAUCAAUUUCAAUAUAUUGGUACUAUCUCCAGAAGCUUUGCUGAAUUUUUUUGAUUGCUUGCUUUAUUUCCCUGUUACAUCUUUGGAUGACCUAAAUAGGUAAUCAUAUCAUUUGUAAAUAAGAAUAAUGGUUUCCUUCUUUCUCUCUUUUCAAACCACUUAUUAUUCAGUUUUUUCUUUUAUUUAUUAACAGAGCAUCCAGUGCAAUGUUUAAUGGAAGUAAUAAUGGCAUUCUUGUCCCGUUCCUCACUUUACUGCAGUACUGCUAACAUUUUAUAAUGAUAACAAUGUUUGCUGUGGGUUUUAGGUCGCUUAGAAACUAGUACUCUCAGAACAUGGAGUGGAAGAGGUGAUCAUGGUAGCAACAGACUGAGGAGUGAAUUUGCACUUGAGUUUUGUCUUGCUGUUUUUCAUUGACGGAACCCAACUGGAAAUCAGAAUACAAGGGCACUCGAUUAAUUCAGUUCACAGAGGACUUCUUCCUGUGGCACGGAGCAUGGUGGGGAAAGGUACAAAGUAGACCUCGAGAAACAAACAGCAUGGUGACCAGUCACAAAAUGUAUACAGAAAAUUAACAGAUUUUUUUUCCUUGAAGAGAUCAAAUCUAAGAAACAGUAUAAAAAUAAGAAUGUGCAGGAUCUAUAUAAAGAAAUCUAUACUCUACCAAGGUACCUGAAAAAAUACACAGAUAAAUGAAGGCUUAUGGCUUGAUUUUAGGUAUAAAAAGUUAAUGUUUAAAGACAUCCAUUUAUCCACCUGGAUAAACAUGGUCAUUAUUUUUUAAAUCAAAGUCCCAAGAGCUCCAUUUCACAACCUGAAACUAUUUAAAAUCAUGUUAGAAAAUUAAAUAGUAAGAAAAUACUAGAAAAAAUCAGAAGAAUGAGUAGAAUCAUAGAGCUACAAUAAUUAAAAUAGGAUGGUUUGGGGGGAAAGAUCAGUAAGUUAGAUCAAUGAAAUUGCAUAGAAAAGCAAGAAAUUGAUUAUUAUAUUUCUAUGGGCACGUGAAAACUGUGGCAUUUCUAAUCACAGGGGAACUUAUAGAUUAUACGAUAAAAGACAUUAGGCCUAUUGGAUAACUAGUUUAGAGAAAAGAAAAUUCAGUUAAGAUCUGACCUCAAGAAAAAAAGUAGAUAGAUUAAGUGUGUAUAUGUAAAAUCAAAAAAAUCAUGAAUAUAUAAAUAAAAUUUGAUAAGUGUUUCUAUAUUUCAGAUGUGGGUCUAUACGGUAAUUUUAUAAUAAAUCAAUUAAAAGAUAUACUAAAAUCAUUUUAACUGUGUGAAAACCAUUUUCACUCACUUAAUUUUUUAAAAUGGUGAAAUCCACUCAUAAACAGUAGCCAGAAAUCAAAGUCAGAAGGCUAAUAUGUAUUUAAAAAGCUAAAGGGUUAGCUUUAUGAGUGUCCAACCUAUGGAGUCACACAGGACCAUAGUUAAUAAUGGCCCCAUACUUGGUUUGAUAUUCUGCUGUCACAGUCUUGAAAUCCUUAACAAUUUUUGAACAAAGAGCCCUGGAUUUUCGUUUUGCACUCAGUCCUGCAAAUUAGGUAGCGAUCCUAGUUAACCUUACCAUAUACUGAGUGAAAUACAAAUUAAAACCUGAAUUUAAAAAUUGUUUUUAGGUUGAAAACAGUAAAAUAAAAACACUUAUUUUUUUCACUUGACAACAUCAAGAAUGCAGAAAAAGAAACACUCAUAUACCUUUAGUUCAACCAUUUGCAAAUACUCAAGAAUCAUAUAUCAAAAUUUAAAGUGAAUACUUUGUAUUGAGCAUUUUUUUCUACAGGAAUACAUCUACAGGAACUAAUUGAACCCAUACAUAAAAAUCAGGAUAUUUAUCACAGUAUUGCUAAUAAUAACAAAAAUAUGUGAACCAAUCUAAAUGUUCAUAAAAAUUGGUUAUAUAUUGAAGGAUACAUUUCUGUAGUUUCAUUUAUGCUUCAACCUGAAAUGUGAUAUAAAUAUACGUAUAAACACACACAUUUGAAAUGUAAAGAUGUACAGUAGAGUGAUAUGGAAAGAUACUCAUGAUUCAUUGUUACGUGGAAAGCCAACUAUGUAACAGCAAAGAUAGUGAAAUGCUACAGGUAGCUGUACAGAACUUUUUAUAUAUAGGUAUAAAAAUGUGUGGAAAGAAAAAGAUAUUUUUAUCCAGAAUUACAAGAACUUUUAUUUUCUUGUUACAAUUUUAGAUAGCCUUCCUUUUAACAAUGGGCUUUUAUUUCUAUUAAAAUAGAAAAAUAAAUCAGCUUGAACUAAUAAGAACUGGGUCAUUUAUGGCUGUGAUCAUUUAAAUAUUUAAAUAAAUAAUUUCCAAAAAUAGUUAUAUUUUUUAUAAAACAAAGGAAUUAAUGUAAAUAGUUUGGAAAGAAAAGUUAAAUAACUUUAAAAAGUUAUGUUGUUUCAAACAUGUCAAUUAUACAGCUAAAAAUUGGGGGGUGUAAGUAUAAGUAUACUAGUUUCCUAAUCUUAAAAAUCAGCAAUUACAUCUAUACUGCUUCAGCCCUGACACAGAUAGGUAGAAGAAUAGAGGUUUCAUUUUAUUUUUGCAAAGCAUAAAGGUAGUCAAAUUUACAAAGAUUUUGAGAAGCAUAGAAAAUAAUUUCAGAUGGUACAUGAUUAUGAGAUAGAAACGUGAGGUAGUAUGUCUUGAACUGGAGUUAAGAAUAGUACUUAAUGUGAAAAAUAAUUUAUACAGAUUCAAAUUCAAUUAAAAAGGAAACCAUAUCACACUUAAUGAACUGCAGAAAAUUUUAGUCUUUCAUCUAAAAUGAGAACACACAGAAUGUAGCUGAAUCCAGAUGAUGUAUUACAGUCAUUGAGUUAAUUCUCUAUGCUGAUUAAAAUAAAGACAUAAUCUCCCAUAAAUUGCUUCCUGAUAGUCCUUUAAGUUGUUUUACUCGAACAAGAUUUAAGAUGGAGAAAUAUAGCAGACAUCUAAAUGCAGGACCACCUGCAGGUUGAGUCUCAGAAGUCUGAUGAGUAGAGAUACUUCAGUCAGGUGUCUGAUGCAAAACAUCACAUUUCUAUCAUCAUUUUCAACUGGAAAGGGGCUUCUUGGAGGUAAUCUAGGACUAUAUGGUAGUCAGAUUGAAAAGUAACAUAAUACAAAUUUCAUCUGUAUAUUUGAACUAUUAAAAUUUACUUUAAAAAAUUAUUGGAUAUUUAGUCAUCUUGCCAAAAUCACUUAAAGUAUAUUAAGUUAUUUUAUGCACUCUUUGGAAACAUUUUUACCUAUGUAAUCAAAGUGGUAGAAUAAGAAACAUUAUAUAAAAAUUCAAAAGUUGAAUCCACUUUGUCUGUAUUCAUUAUAUUGACAGCUGGAUAAAAUAAAAUAAUUAAAGAACUUAUGCCUUUCAGAACAUUAACUAACAGUUUCUAACUGCUUCAGUUAUUCAAGAUAAGUUCUGGAUAUCUAUACAGCAUAGUGACCAUAAGUAGCAAUACUAUUUUAUUGUUAAAAUUUAUUAAGAUAGUAGGUCUUAUGUUAAUUCUUUCUAACACACAAACACACACAGAUUAAAAAAAAGGGAGUAGGAAGAAACUUUGGGAGGUGAUGGAUAUUUAUAACCUUGAAGAUGGUGAUGAGUCAUGGAUGUAUACUUACUCCUAAACUUAUGAAGUUGUAUAUGCUAAAUACGUACAACGUUUUACAUGUCAAUCAUAUGUCAAUAAAGUGGUUUAAAACAAAAACAGAAACAAAUCUACAUUAAUUGUAAAUGCUUAUAAGUUAUCAAAAGCAAUACUAAAUUAACGAGUGGUGAUUUGUGAAAAAUGUUUUUUUUAAUGAAGCUGACCCUAUACAUAGGUGGAUGCUUUAGUGAAAAAAAUUUGUUGAUGCUUGCGAAAACUUCAGACAAUAGGUGGCCAAAUGAAUAAAAAACAAAACUGCUGCUG